ensembl:lncRNA
GUUAUAAUGAAACACUUGAAUUCUUGGAUAAUCUGAACAUGAAACUAAGGAAGAUGCCCUCUGGCUCCAUGGGCUCAUCACCUCCUGAGCUGCAGUGGCAUUUGCUGUUCUGAACAUGGUGAUACUCAAAGCUUGGCACUGGUUUGGAGAACACAAGCAAGUGAUGCUACUUCGGCAAUUCUUCCUGCAGAUGGAGUUCCAACAUCCCCCUGAGUUAUUCAGCUGUGUCCCUCUAACUAAUUGCUUCUGAAAUCCAGGCUGGCUUUCUCUUCAGUUUAAAUACAGCAAUAUGUUGGACCAGGAUAAUUGAAAUGCAACUGGGAUUGGCUGUCUUUUUUUCGAAAAUAGUUUUCAGCUAUCCCUCUGAUCCAACAACGGGAGACUAUCAUAUUAGAAGUCCUGUCUCACACCAUGAUUUCUAGCAUUGUUCCAUGAGGAUGUUCAGUCCUUUCCGAUAUCAAUCAUGACGUGACAGCAAGCUA